CGAACGGAAAGGCCCUGCUUGCAGGGUACUCGAGUGGCGAACGGGUGAGUAACACGUGGGUGAUCUGCCCUGCACUUCGGGAUAAGCCUGGGAAACUGGGUCUAAUACCGGAUAGGAGCCAUUUUUAGUGUGAUGGUUGGAAAGUUUUUUCGGUGUAGGAUGAGCUCGCGGCCUAUCAGCUUGUUGGUGGGGUAAUGGCCUACCAAGGCGGCGACGGGUAGCCGGCCUGAGAGGGUGGACGGCCACAUUGGGACUGAGAUACGGCCCAGACUCCUACGGGAGGCAGCAGUGGGGAAUAUUGCACAAUGGGCGCAAGCCUGAUGCAGCGACGCCGCGUGGGGGAUGACGGCCUUCGGGUUGUAAACUCCUUUCGCUAGGGACGAAGCUUUUUGUGACGGUACCUAGAUAAGAAGCACCGGCUAACUACGUGCCAGCAGCCGCGGUAAUACGUAGGGUGCGAGCGUUGUCCGGAAUUACUGGGCGUAAAGGGCUCGUAGGUGGUUUGUCGCGUCGUCUGUGAAAUUCCGGGGCUUAACUCCGGGCGUGCAGGCGAUACGGGCAUAACUUGAGUACUGUAGGGGUAACUGGAAUUCCUGGUGUAGCGGUGAAAUGCGCAGAUAUCAGGAGGAACACCGAUGGCGAAGGCAGGUUACUGGGCAGUUACUGACGCUGAGGAGCGAAAGC
rnacentral:rRNA from 1 species